GGCGGCGUGCUUAACACAUGCAAGUCGAACGAAGAGCGAUGGAAGCUUGCUUCUAUCAAUCUUAGUGGCGAACGGGUGAGUAACGCGUAAUCAACCUGCCCUUCAGAGGGGGACAACAGUUGGAAACGACUGCUAAUACCGCAUACGAUCCAAUCUCGGCAUCGAGACUGGAUGAAAGGUGGCCUCUAUUUAUAAGCUAUCACUGAAGGAGGGGAUUGCGUCUGAUUAGCUAGUUGGAGGGGUAACGGCCCACCAAGGCGAUGAUCAGUAGCCGGUCUGAGAGGAUGAACGGCCACAUUGGGACUGAGACACGGCCCAGACUCCUACGGGAGGCAGCAGUGGGGAAUCUUCCGCAAUGGACGAAAGUCUGACGGAGCAACGCCGCGUGAGUGAUGACGGCCUUCGGGUUGUAAAGCUCUGUUAAUCGGGACGAAUGGUUCUUGUGCGAAUAGUGCGAGGAUUUGACGGUACCGGAAUAGAA
rnacentral:rRNA from 1 species